CCCUUAGAUGUUCUGGGCUGCACGCGCGCUACACUGAAGCGUUCAACGAGUAUUCACCUUGCCCGGGAGGGUUGGGUAAUCUUUUGAAAACGCUUCGUGAUGGGGAUAGAUUAUUGCAAUUAUUAAUCUUCAACGAGGAAUUCCUAGUAAGCGCGAGUCAUCAGCUCGUGCUGAUUACGUCCCUGCCCUUUGUACACACCGCCCGUCGCUCCUACCGGUUGAGUGAUCCGGUGAAUAAUUCGGACUGCAGCACUGCUUGGUCUCCAGGCUUUGCAGCGGAAAGUUUAGUGAACCUUAUCACUUAGAGGAAGGAGAAGUCGUAACA
rnacentral:rRNA from 1 species